rnacentral:rRNA from 1 species
AUUGAACGCUGGCGGCAUGCUUUACACAUGCAAGUCGAACGGCAGCGCGGGCUUCGGCCUGGCGGCGAGUGGCGAACGGGUGAGUAAUGCAUCGGAACGUGCCCAGUAGUGGGGGAUAGCCCGGCGAAAGCCGGAUUAAUACCGCAUACGACCUGAGGGUGAAAGCGGGGGACCGAAAGGCCUCGCGCUAUUGGAGCGGCCGAUGUCGGAUUAGCUAGUUGGUGGGGUAAAGGCUUACCAAGGCGACGAUCCGUAGCUGGUCUGAGAGGACGACCAGCCACACUGGGACUGAGACACGGCCCAGACUCCUACGGGAGGCAGCAGUGGGGAAUUUUGGACAAUGGGGGCAACCCUGAUCCAGCCAUGCCGCGUGCGGGAAGAAGGCCUGCGGGUUGUAAACCGCUUUUGUUCGGGAAGAAAUCCUCUGGGCUAAUACCCCGGGGGGAGGACGGGACCGGAAGAAUAAGCACCGGCUAACUACGU